CAAUAGCGUAUAUUAAAGUUGUUGCAGUUAAAAAGCUCGUAGUUGGAUUUCUGGUUGAAGCGACCGGUCGGGCGUUGAUUCGUCUGCACUGGAGUCGGUUUUGGCCAUCCUCUAGGAAAGUGCGUCUGGUAUUAAGUUAUCGGGCGUAUGAUCCUGGUCUUUUACUGUGAAAAAAUUAGAGUGUUUAAAGCAGGCCUUCGCCUUGAAUACAUUAGCAUGGAAUAAUAAGAUAAGACUUUGGUCUAUUUUGUUGGUUUGCAGACCGAAGUAAUGAUUAAUAGGGAUAGUUGGGGGUAUUUAUAUUCCGAUGUCAGAGGUGAAAUUCUUAGAUUUUCGGAAGAUAAACUUAUGCGAAAGCAUUUACCAAGGAUGUUUUCAUUAA
rnacentral:rRNA from 1 species